rnacentral:rRNA from 1 species
CCCGCACAAGCGGUGGAGCAUGUGGUUAAUUCGACGCAACGCGAAGAACCUUACCAGGGCUUGACAUCCCCUGACCGCGUAUGAAAGUACGUUUUCACCCUCGGGUGACAGGGAGACAGGUGGUGCAUGGUUGUCGUCAGCUCGUGUCGUGAGAUGUUGGGUUAAGUCCCGCAACGAGCGCAACCCCUACGUUUAGUUGCUAACGCGUGAAGGCGAGCACUCUAGACGAACUGCCGUUGACAAAACGGAGGAAGGCGGGGAUGACGUCAAGUCCUCAUGGCCCUUACAUCCCGGGCUACACACGUGCUACAAUGGCAGGUACAGAGGGCUGCGAAGCCGCGAGGUGGAGCGAAUCCCAGAAAACCUGUCUCAGUCCGGAUUGAAGUCUGCAACUCGACUUCAUGAAGGCGGAAUCGCUAGUAACCGCGAAUCAGCAGGUCGCGGUCGAAUACGUUCCCGGGCCUU